rnacentral:ncRNA from 1 species
AAAUGAAUUAGCGUUACAAGUGGGCUCUGACCGGUAAGCGGUCAUGGCGAAAUGGGAUGAACCAUACGUCUGAAUAAGGUGCCGAAAUGUACUAUCACUGAUACCAUAAAGGGAGUCCAUGUAUUUAGACAGCAGGUCGGUGCCCCUAAAAGCAGGUAUCCGCUAAAGAGUGUGUUAAAACUCACCUGCCGAAUACUAGGGCCCCGAAAAUGAAUGGCGCAUAUAGUACUACCGAUCUCAGACAUCAGUUCUAUUGAACUGAGAGUAGGGGGAUGUGGACAUUUUUGUGAAGGUGCAAUGUGAGUUGGACUGGAAGAAUGUCUAUUACAGAUCCUAAUUGAAGUAGCGAUUAUCCAGGCUUGUAUCCUGGGGGCUGAUGAGGAGUAGGGUUUCUGGACAACUUAAACAGAUCCAGAGUUAGUCGAUCCUAAUCUCAAUAAUGGGAGAAAGGGAGUACAGUUGAUAUUCUGUAACUGACAACAGUUCGCGGCAACGCAUACUAUUUUUCUCCGCCAAUCUUAUACCGUUGGUAGGGAUCUCUUUCCUACAUGACAGUACUAAUACCCAGGGAAACUGGUCAUCAGGCGAACUGCGGCGUUCUGCUGGCAAAACAUAGCUUCGGUUAUGUCAAUGGCUAUUGGAUUGGUCCAUGAAGCGAAAAAUAGUUUACUGUGUCACUCGUACCGAUAACCGCAUCAUGUCUUCUAGGUAAGUAGCCUAUGGCCAUUGAGGCAUGAUAGUUCAGGGAAUUCGGCCAAUUAGAGCUGUAACUUCGGGAUAAAGCUUGGCUCUGAUGAAAAUCAGAACCGAUUGUUACGCGGAGAGCCCAACUGUUUAAUAAAAACGUAGUGUCGCGCUGUGGUAGUAUAGCCAGUGAACGCGACAUGAAUCCUGCUCAGUGCUGUGUCUGUUAAUAUGGUUCAAG